rnacentral:rRNA from 1 species
GAUGAACGCUAGCGGCAGGCUUAACACAUGCAAGUCGAGGGGCAGCAUACCCAGCAAUGGGUGAUGGCGACCGGCGGAAGGGUGCGUAACGCGUGAGCAACAUACCCUAUACAGGGGGAUAAGCCAGGGAAACUUGGUCUAAUAUCCCAUAGGAAAUAGAUAAGGCAUCUUAUUUAUUUUAAAGCUUCGGUGGUAUAGGAUUGGCUCGCGUGACAUUAGCUAGAUGGAGGGGUAACGGCCCACCAUGGCAAUGAUGUCUAGGGGUUCUGAGAGGAAGAUCCCCCACACUGGGACUGAGACACGGCCCAGACUCCUACGGGAGGCAGCAGUGAGGAAUAUUGGACAAUGGAUGGAAAUCUGAUCCAGCCAUGCCGCGUGCAGGAAGACGGCCCUAUGGGUUGUAAACUGCUUUUAUACGGGAGCAAUAAGGUCUAUGCAUAGAUUGAUGAGAGUACCGUAUGAAUAAGCAUCGGCUAACUCCGUG